CAGAAGCUGACAAUGACCGAUAGGCUUUUUCAGUGGAUACCAGAAUGUCCUUUCCCACAGCCUGGAGGGAAGGCGGAAUAACUGCUUGGCAACGAAAGGCCAAACAGAAACCUGGAGAAGAUGUGAAGAUGGCAGUAGUCAGGAGGAGGAGCACUGGCCUGAGAACUCAACAUAGGAGGCAGAACCCCACUUCCUGUUCUAGCAGGAGGGAACCUUGUCCCCACCGUCCUCAGACAUCCCCUUGGUACUGGGUUUGUUCUUCGGGCCUGCUAUAGAGGGGCACCCCGACUGUAACCCAGCAUCCCCAGUGAUCAGAACCACUGACUCCUGCCUCCCAUGUCCCACCCCACCCCCACCCCACCAUGGGAGGCCCCUACAGAAGCAAAACAUAGUCACCUUAGACUCUGGCAUACUGAGACCCUGUUCCUAUCUCACCUGGCUGCCAGUUUAUUAUUUAAUAAAAACAAUUGUUAAAUAA